AGCGAUCGCUGGCGGCGUACUUAACACAUGCAAGUCGAACGAGGAUCGCCUGUGUAGCAAUACAUAGGCGGUUCUAGUGGCGUACGGGUGAGUAACACGUGGGCAACCUGCCCUUGAGUCCGGGAUACCCUCUCGAAAGGGAGGCUAAUACUGGAUACGUUCCUCGGGUCGCGAGAUCUGGGGAGGAAAGGUGGCGAAAGCUGCCGCUCUUGGAGGGGCUUGCGGCCAUCAGCUAGUUGGUGAGGUAAUGGCUCACCAAGGCUAUGACGGGUAGCUGGUCUGAGAGGACGACCAGCCACACGGGAACUGAGACACGGUCCCGACUCCUACGGGAGGCAGCAGUGGGGAAUUUUCCGCAAUGGGCGAAAGCCUGACGGAGUGACGCCGCGUGGGGGACGAAGGCC
rnacentral:rRNA from 1 species